AGGCGAGUCUUCUGUGAGCCCGCUGUCGCUUACAAGGUGGCUGAUGUUCGGAGAGCACCCCCUCCCCGGUUACCCCAGCGCCCCAUCUAUUCCACCAGCAGCCCCCCGACGAUGAGCCCACCCGCAUCUCCCGUCCACAGAGCAGGAAAGUAAGGCCUGGCGUCGGGGAUGGUCUUUGAUCUGCCGCCUUCCUGGGGGACGUCAGCAGCGGAGCCUGAGCUGUUGACCGCGGCCACAAGCGCGGUCCUCGUGUCCCACGGAACUGCGCCUGCGUAGUUGAAUCAGCAGGGAUCCGAGGGUUAAAAAGCAAACGGAGCCACGGCCCCCUGCUCACUGGUUCACUGCUGCUGGGGCUGCGGGGCGCACGGCCACAUUGGAGGGCAGUUUUGUCACAAGCAGACGUGUCUUCAGCCUGUGCCCCAAGCAUUCAGACGGAGAAGCUGAGAAGGGACUUCCACGCACACCCGGCCCGGGCGUCGUAGCUGCUUUAUUGACAGUCGCUGGGCGGGACAGGAGCCCGAGCGGCCACGGGGCACGGAGGUCGUGAGACGCCACCAGCUUCACCACAGUGAGAUGUGAGCUCUUGAAGGAGGACAGCCCAGCAGGAAAGCCACCCCUGUCACCACGGCGACCCGGCCGCUGGCGUCCUCACCAGUCCCCACACUGCACGCUCACGUGCCUUGACCUUUGGCCCCAGCUGUGCCUUCUCCCUCCUGGCCAUCCUGACGUCUUGUUCGUUACAUCCUGGGCCCGUGUCCCCUGAGAGUGGGCCGGGGGCCCCUCUGGCCAUGGGCGUCUCUCCACUCAGCGCUGGUCCACGGCGCUGUCAGUUUCCUUUCUCUAGACCUGAGCCGGGGAGGGGGCCAAGCAGUGACGUGCCCCCGCUGGCUCUGCACCCUAGCACCGAGCCUGGCUCCCUGAGCCCUCAGUGGGCGGCUGGCCGGCCCUGGGUCCUCACGUGGGUUCUCCGCCCUGUCCUUUCUGUUCCCACCGCCCCACGCAGCCCAGGGGCCUCCUGCACGCACACCUUGCCCUGUGACACCAGCCCUGUGGAAGUGACCAGCAGCAGCCCUGCUCCCAGGGCCUCGAGUGGCCCAUCGUCUCAGCUCCACGGCAUCCCUAGGAGAGGGGAGGGUUACAGCCAAAUCCACUCCGCCAUGAGGAGGCAGAGGCGCGGGAGGGCCGGGGGGGCGGGGGGGGCUGGCACACACUCGGAGCCAGGAGGGUCACAGCCAGGUCCACACACCUCAGCUGGGUGCCUCCUGCGUCCUUGACCUCAGCCUUGACCUCAGCUUCCACCUCCGAGGGUGCCAUUGUCCAGCGGCGAAUCUAACGCACAGACGCGUUAAGGCUGUUCCCGCUGCGGCUCCAACCCCAGGCCUUGCCCAAGACCCUCUGCACACCCACGUGCUGCAGCCCCCGCCCCACCCCAGCUCUUCUAGAACCCCCUUCUCUCCUUUGUCCUGACAUCACAUGUUUUUAUGCCCCGUCUGAGAUGUGGGAACAAAGACAAAGCCAGGCUGGAUGGCGGAGCUGCCUGGAGGCCCCAGACCUGGGUGGGCUGCCACGCGCACACAUGCUGAGGGGCCCGGGCUGGGCUCAGAGGCGCCGGGGCCACCAAGACCUGGAAGAGGAGCCAGAACAAAGCCCAGAGGAGCAGCCGCACGUGUCCCUGGUGGGGUCCCUCUGCACCCCACGUGGAACCUGAGUCAUUUUGUGACUUCAGACCUUCUGUUGGUUUCACCCACAGCUUGUCUAUCGGAAGGGCCCAGCUGGGGUGAGCGGGGGUCCGAGGAGCUCUUCAGAGCCUUUGCCAUCCCGCCAGGCGCUAGGACGAGCCUGCGCUCCCACCGGAAACCAGGGUGAGAGCCAGCCCUUGUCCUAGCGGCCAGGAGCUCAGGCUCAGACCCUUCACUGAAGUCCUUCUUCAGUAAACAGACACCGGGAAGCCCAGAGCCCUCGGCCAUCAGAGAUGCCAGGUGACAGCAGACCAGAGGGCGUGGCACCACCUCAGUGACCCAGCAAGAUCGACUCAAGGUGCCAGAGGGGAUGUGGGGCACCGGGCACCUCGCGCUCCACGCCCACCACACACACCUGCGCCCCGGAAGUCUGGGAGGAGGUGGGUACCACGCUGCACCCUGGACCCCCCAGGACGGCCAAGCCGAGACACCCAGCGCCCCACUGCGCCCGUGGAGGGGGGGACAGGCAGGACGACGUCAGGCACGGACGCCACAGCGGAGCCAAACCACCACGACGGCGACGCUCCUGAGUGGGGGGGGGGGGCGGGGAGCGAAGCCAGACCCGCGGAACGUGUGCGGCGGUUCUGGAAAAUCCCGACACGCAGGUGCUUAGCGGCCGCUUGGGAGUAAAGGUGUCAGGGAGAGCGGGAGGCGGUGGCCGGGAACCUCAGGCCAGUGCUGCGGGGGAGGGGCGGGCGCUCAGGAUGCAUCUCCCGCUCACUGUGCAGCAUCCCAGGCCCUUCGACAAAAUCUAACUCACUGCGGCUUUGCACUCAUUUGCCCGACGAGGAGACCGAGCCCGGAGAGGUGGGCAGCGGUCUGGGGACGGCGCCAGGGUGCCGCCGCGCAGAGAUGCGGGGAAGUGAUCCCGCUCACGGCACAAUCAGGAAACGAAAGGCGAGGCGAGGGAAUUACCUUGAGUUUCAGGACGGCUGCGUCUCGCACCUUCGCGGGAGACUUCCGGAAAACAGGCUCGUCUUGAGUAAAACCCUGAGCCUGGCUGGCCGGGCAGGGGGUCUGCUGUUUGCCCUCUGGCUGCCCGCAGGCCUGGUUUCCCUCCAGAGACCUCCAGGCCCCAGCGCAGGCCGCCUCCCCUCGGGCCACCCUGUCCUCCUCCUCCGUCAGGUCCACCCACGCCUGCACAGCCGUCCACCUCCCUCCUCUGAGCCCCAGUGCGUGUCCCGCCCGGCACCUUCGGCCCAGUUCCCGCAGGGCCGUGAGCGCACGCCCGUCCAUCAGGGCCUCUGUUCUGAGUGCUGGUUGUGCUGCAGGUUUCAGAGUGAGCAGGACAGACACGGCCCCUCCUUCGCGAAGCCUGAUGGAAGCUUCCUCCCUCCGACCUCCUGCUGGGGCUCCCACUGGCCGAGCGCCGCUGGAGGCCGGAGGGUGGGGACCCGGGCAGUGGUCCGUGGCCGUCAGCCUUCUGCAGAGCGAGCAGGGUGGGCCCUGGGGACCAUGCCUGAUGUCCCGGCGAUGCACUGGGAACCCUGCGGGCCCAGGUGGAUCCUCACGCGGUUGAACCCCCCCCACCCUGAGGACAGGCCCUUUUGAAAAUCUCAGCUCCGUCUGUUCCAUUCCACACCUGCCAAGCAGGGCCCCUGGUCUCUGCCCACGUCACCUGCCCACGAGCGACCUCCGUGAGUCCUCACCGCCACUCCGGGGAGGUCAGGGCAACGAACCUCUCAGCGUCCACAUGAAGGCAGGGUGAUGGGUAAUUUAUAGCCGAGGAUACUGAAAUUCAGGGAUGGGGCCCCGUGGCCCCAGGGUCUCACAGCUAAUCAGCAACAGAGUCAGGCUUGAAGCCCAGGUCUAGCUGACGUCACAGCUCGUGCAGGUGCCCCAGGCUGGACCUGGCUCCGAACUCAGGGCUUCUCCCCACCUGUCUCCCCCUUUCUCCUUCUCUCUAAACUCCACCCCCGCCCCUCCUGGACCACAGAGCCUGCCACCCAGCGGUCAGCUCCCAGGGGUCCCUGCCUCCAUCCUGUGGCCCUGUCUGGCUCAAUGACGCAAUAGCCCCAGGCAGCCUUGCAGUUGAAAUGUUCUGGAAUGUACAGUAGACCAGGCCAUCUGCUUCCUCCAGACUCUGCCUUCUGCCUCCAUCGGGACCCAGCGCAAAUAUGCAGGGACCCAGAGCAACAGUCACUUUAUUUCUGGGCCCAGGGUUUCUAACUGGCCCGAUUGCUCAACGCGGGUUUCACCCAGGAGCCCGAGGAGGUGAGGAGCCGGGGCUGCGCGGAGGCUGCAGGAAGGGAAAUGCUAGGGGAGACACAGCACCUCGGUCGGCUGAAUGCACCGUGAUUUCCCCCUGAAAGCUCUGCAAGAAGAUGGCCCGAGUCCCUCCCUCUUGUGUUUCUCCGAGAGAUUUUUAUUUCCAAGACUCUCUGUUCGGCCCUCACGCUGUAACACGGAGGUGAAGGCGGGGUGACUGCGUGUACCGGAUGCUCGGCGUCCCGCUGUAGCCAUUCAGAAGCCAGGAGCCAUAGGGCUCCGCCUCAGAGACGCCCUCCUGAUGGAACAGAGUUCUGCGAAUGAAGUUCCAAACGGGCUCAGGUGCCCUGGUUUCAUGUAUGGAGAACGGGGAGCUAGGUCCGUGCCCAGAGGGGUGACCCCAUCGCACGAGAGAGGGGCCGCCUUCAGAAGGUCAGUGACCUGUCGCUGCUCCCAGGUUGGAGUGCGGGCAAGUCUCCCUGCCUGGGAUUCAAGGGGUCAAGGCAGAAAGGGGUCGGGGGCAGAAGGUUGGUUUUUUUUAAAGUCGGUGGGAUGGGAGUUCCUGUCGUGGCGCAGCGGAAACAAAUCCGGCUAGGAACCGUGAGGUUGCAGGUUCGAUCUCUGGCCUCGCUCAGCAGGUUAAGGAUCUGGUGUCACUGUGAGCUGUGGUGUAGGUCGCAGACAUGGCUCCGAGCUGGCGUUGCCGUGGCUGUGGUGUAGGCCAGUGGCUACAGCUCUGGUUAGACCCCUAGCCUGGGAACCUCCAUGUGCCA
rnacentral:lncRNA from 1 species